UACAGAGGGUGCGAGCGUUAAUCGGAAUUACUGGGCGUAAAGCGUGCGUAGACGGUUAUUUAAGUCGGAUGUGAAAGCCCCGGGCUCAACCUGGGAAUUGCAUUCGAGACUGAAUAGCUAGGGUGCGGUAGAGGGAAGCGGAAUUUACGGUGUAGCAGUGAAAUGCGUAGAUAUCGUAAGGAAGACCAGUGGCGAAGGCGAGUCUCUGGACAGUUACUGACGCUGAGGCACGAAGGCCAGGGGAGCAAACGGG
rnacentral:rRNA from 1 species